rnacentral:ncRNA from 1 species
AAAAAGUUUGAUUUUAGCUCAAUUAUUUAUUUAAUAAUUAUUUUGCAUGUAAAUUUUUGUGAGUAUAUUAUUUAUUUUAAAAAAAUUUAUAAUUAAAUAUAUUAUAAUUGCAGCAUUUUAUUUUAAUAAUUAAAAAAAUUUAGAAUUAUUAAUUUAUUUUAAUUUAGGCAAAAAUUGUGCCAGCAGCUGCGGUUAAACAAUUUAUGUUAAUAAAUAUUAUUAAUUUAUAAAUUUAAUAUAUUUUAAUUUUAUUAAAUGUUUUAAUAAUUAAGUGAAAUUUUUAUUAAUUUUAUAAUUUUUUAUUUUAUUAUUUAAUUUAUGAAAUCUAAAAGUUAAACUAGGAUUAGAUACCCUAUUAUUUUAGAAUUAAAUUUAAAAUGUUAAGAAUUAAUAGAUAAGUUCUUUAAACUUAAAAAAAUUGGCGGUAUUUAAAUCUAAUUAGGGGAAUUUGUUUAUUAAUUGAUAUUCCUCAAAUUACCUUACUUUAAUUUUUAAUUUGUUUAUUGUCGUUAACAAAAUAUUUUAUAAGAAUAUAUAAUUUUUUAAAAUUUUUAAAAAAAUUUAUUUCAGAUCAUUAUGCAGUUAUAUUAAAGUUUAAAUGAAUUACAAUAAUAUUAAUUUAUAUGGAUUUUUAAUUGAAAUUAUUAAAUUGAAAGUGGACUUAAUAGUAAAAUUAAAUAAUUAUUAUGUUAAUUUGAAUUGAGAAUUAAAUAUGUACAUAUUGCCCGUCACUCUCAUUUUAAAAUGAGAUAAGUCGUAACAAAGUAAGCGUAUUGGAAAAUGUGCUUAGUAAGU